rnacentral:rRNA from 1 species
AUUGAACGCUGGCGGAAUGCUUUACACAUGCAAGUCGAACAGCAGCACGGACUUCGGUCUGGUGGCGAGUGGCGAACGGGUGAGUAAUAUAUCGGAACGUGCCCAGUCGUGGGGGAUAACGUAGUGAAAAUUACGCUAAUACCGCAUACGAUCUAUGGAUGAAAGCGGGGGAUCGCAAGACCUCGCGCGAUUGGAGCGGCCGAUAUCAGAUUAGGUAGUUGGUGAGGUAAAGGCUAACCAAGCCGACGAUCUGUAGCUGGUCUGAGAGGACGACCAGCCACACUGGAACUGAGACACGGUCCAGACUCCUACGGGAGGCAGCAGUGGGGAAUUUUGGACAAUGGACGCAAGUCUGAUCCAGCCAUUCCGCGUGCAGGACGAAGGCCUUCGGGUUGUAAACUGCUUUUGUACAGAACGAAAAGGUCUCUAUUAAUACUAGGGGCUCAUGACGGUACUGUAAGGAUAAGCACCGGCUAACUACGUGCCAGCCGCCGCUGUAA